rnacentral:rRNA from 1 species
UAGUGCAUCUUCGGCAAUGUUGUGAACCCUGACCGAGCAACGCCUCUUGAGUGACGAAUUUUUUCGGAUCUUCACUCUCUUUUGUUAAGUACGAACUAUUUUUAUACUGUAAAGUUCAUACUUUUACUUUACUUAACCAGAAAGGUACUUCUCACUACUUUCCAGCAGCCUCUUUAAUACGUAGGUCCCGAGCGUUGUCCGGAUUUAUUGGUCGUAAAGCGAGCGCAGGCGGUUAGAUAAGUCUGAAGUUAAAGGCAGUGGCUCAACCAUUGAAGGCUUUGGAAACUGGUUGACUUGAGUGCAGAAGAGGAGAGUGGAAUUCCAUGUGUAGCGGUGAAAUGCGUAGAUAUAUGGAGGAACACCAGUGGCGAAGGCGACUCUCUGGUCUGUAACUGACGCUGAGGCUCGAAAGCGUGGGUAGCAAACAGG